UACGUAGGCGGAAAAUUAAGUCAGUAGUGAAAUCCUGCAGCUUAACUGUAGAACUGUUAUUGAUACUGGUUUUCUUGAAUUUAGUUGAGGUAGGCGGAAUGUGUAAUGUAGCGGUGAAAUGCUUAGAUAUUACACAGAACACCGAUUGCGAAGGCAGCUUACUAAACUAUGAUUGACGCUGAGGCACGAAAGCGUGGGGAGCGAACAGGAUUAGAUACCCUGGUAGUCC
rnacentral:rRNA from 1 species